rnacentral:rRNA from 1 species
GACGAACGCUGGCGGCGUGCUUAACACAUGCAAGUCGAACGGAAAGGCCCUGCUUUUGUGGGUGCUUGGGUGGCCAAAGGGGGAGUAAAACCUGAGUUACCCGCCCUUGGAUUUGGGAUAACUUUAGGAAACUGGGGCUAAUAACGGAUAGGAGGCUCCGCCGCAUGGUGGGGGGUGGGAAGGUUUCGGCGGUUGGGGAUGGACUCGCGGCUUAUCAGCUUGUUGGUGGGGUAGUGGCUUACCAAGGCUUGGACGGGUAGCCGGCCUGAGAGGGUGACCGGCCACAUUGGGACUGAGAUACGGCCCAGACUCCUACGGGAGGCAGCAGUGGGGAAUAUUGCACAAUGGGCGGAAGCCUGAUGCAGCAACGCCGCGUGCGGGAUGACGGCCUUCGGGUUGUAAACCGCUUUCGCCUGUGACGAAGCGUGAGUGACGGUAAUGGGUAAAGAAGCACCGGCUAACUACGUG